rnacentral:rRNA from 1 species
CUUACUGCUAUCGGGGUGGGACUAAGACAUGCGAGUCGAGCGUCUCUAGCUAUGUUGAGACGCGGCAGACGGCUCAGUAACACGUGGCUAACCUACCCUCAGGACGAGGACAAACCCGGGAAACUGGGGCUAAUACUCGAUAGGUGAAGAUGUCUGGAAUGACUUUUCACUUAAAGGGCUUUGGAAACAUGCUUCCAAGUCGCCUGGGGAUGGGGCCGCGUCCGAUCAGGUUGUUGGUGAGGUAAUGGCUCACCAAGCCUAUAACCGGUACGGGCCGUGAGAGCGGUAGCCUGGAGAUGGGUACUGAGACAAGGACCCAGGCCCUACGGGGCGCAGCAGUCGCGAAAACUCCGCAAUGCACGCAAGUGUGACGGGGCUACCCCGAGUGCCUUCCGCUGAGGAUGGCUUUUCCUUGGUGUAACUAGCCAGGGGAAUAAGGAGAGGGCAAGACUGGUGUCGGCCGCCGCGGUAAUACCAGCUCUCCGAGUGGUAGGGAUGAUUAUUGGGCUUAAAGCGUCCGUAGCCGGCUUAGCAAGUCUCCUGUUAAAUUCAGCGACCUAAUCGUUGAGCCGCGGGAGAUACUAUUAGGCUAGGAGGCGGGAGAGGUCAACGGUACUUCUGGGGUAGGGGUGAAAUCCUAUAAUCCCAGGAGGACCACCAGUGGCGAAGGCCGUUGACUAGAACGCGCUCGACGGUGAGGGACGAAAGCUGGGGGAGCGAACCGGAUUAGAUACCCGGGUAGUCCCAGCUGUAAACGAUGCGGGCUAGGUGUUGGGGUGGCUACGUGCCACUUCAGUGCCGCAGGGAAGCCAUUAAGCCCGCCGCCUGGGGAGUACGGCCGCAAGGCUGAAACUUAA